rnacentral:misc_RNA from 1 species
AGCAGCCGCGGUAAUUCCAGCUCCAAUAGCGUAUAUUAAAGUUGUUGCAGUUAAAAAGCUCGUAGUUGAAUUUCGGGGUUAGUAGGUUGGUCAUGCCUCUGGUAUGUACUGAUCUCACUGAUUCCUCCUUCCUUAUGAACCGUAAUGCCAUUAAUUUGGUGUUGCGGGGAAUUUGGACUGUUACUUUGAAAAAAUUAGAGUGUUUAAAGCAGGCUAACGCUUGAAUACAUUAGCAUGGAAUAAUGAAAUAGGACGUUCGAUCUUAUUUUGUUGGUUUCUAGGAUUGACGUAAUGAUUAAUAGGGAUAGUUGGGGGCAUUAGUAUUCAAUUGUCAGAGGUGAAAUUCUUGGAUUUAUUGAAGACUAACUACUGCGAAAGCAUUUGCCAAGGAUGUUUUCAUUAAUCAAGAACGAAAGUUAGGGGAUCGAAGACGAUCAGAUACCGUCGUAGUCUUAACCAUAAACUAUGCCGACUAGGGAUCGGAUGAUGUUAAUUUUUUAAUGACUCAUUCGGCGCCUUACG